rnacentral:rRNA from 1 species
UACUCCUACGGGAGGCAGCAGUAGGGAAUCUUCCACAAUGGACGCAAGUCUGAUGGAGCAACGCCGCGUGAGUGAAGAAGGUCUUCGGAUCGUAAAGCUCUGUUGUUGGUGAAGAAGGAUAGAGGCAGUAACUGGUCUUUAUUUGACGGUAAUCAACCAGAAAGUCACGGCUAACUACGUGCCAGCAGCCGCGGUAAUUGA